AUGCAAAAACAAACAAACAAACAAACAAAAAACAAACCUAAAAGAGCAGAGGACUUCCUCGCGAGAUGUCUUCUCUCGGCCCGGGAAUGCGAGGUGGCUGUUGCGCAAGCGCAGUCUGUCCAGGGCCCGGACUGCGCGGCAGUGCCGGCGGUGCCGCAGCCGAGCUCCCGCAGGGAGAGCAGGGCAGCCCUCGGGGGCGCCAGUAACCCCUCGCGCGCAGAGCAGCCCUCGGGGGCGCCAGUAACCCCUCGCUGGGGCUUCCAAGGACGGGACCUUCCAGGAGCCCUCGCGUGGCAAGGAGGGCCCCCACCCGCCCCUGGACCCCACUCUGAGUUUCCGAAACGUAAGCUCCUCCUCCCCGGGCCCCCCUCCGGGCUGCCCUGGACAGCCUCCGCGGCUCCCUGCGCUCCCAGCUGCCGCGCGUGGAGCCCGACCGACCCAGGCCUCCACGGCUCGCGCUGGAACCCCGUGGCCGGCAGCAGCCCUGCUGGCUCGCCUUCUCCACUCGCCUUUGCUGAGGCCUCGCUGCCCCCCCGGAAUCCUGUGUGCACACACGCGCACACACACACUCAUGCACACACAUAUACGCACGUGCACACACACAAAGUACACCUGCACAUGCACACACACAUGAACGCGCACACACGCACACACACACAAACACGCACGCGCACACACGCGCACACACAUGCACACACAUAUACGCACGUGCACACACGCACACGCACGCAUACACACGCAUAUGCAUGCGCACACACAUACACGCACACACAUACACGCAUGCACACACAUGCAUGCACACACGCACACACAUAUACGCACACGCACACACAUGCACGCACACAAAGUACACAUGCACAUGCACACACACAUGAACGCGCACACACGCACACGCACGCACACACAUACACGCGUGCACAUACACACACGCACACGCAUGCACACAUGUGCACACACAUACACGCAUGCACACACGUGCAUGCACAUGCACACAUGCACACACGCACACAAGUACACACACAUGCACACACAUGUGCACAUGCAUGCACACACGUGCACACACGUGCACAUGCACACACGCGCACACACACAUGCACACACACACACACUCCGCUUUCACUUCCUGUCUGUGUGCAGCCCUGGGCUCGCUCCGCAGGCUGCCCGUGGCCCCCCGCACUUGUAUGUCCGCGCUGGCGACGCCGCCACAGAGCAGGGACUGCGGGAUUCCAAGGCCUUCGGGCCCUGGCUCGCUCUCAGACAGAGCAGGGCUGGGGGACCCCCGUCCCCGCCUCCCACCUUCCCUUGCCUCGCGGCUCAGUGUGGCCCCUGUUCUCCCUCUCCAUGUCACCCGGCUCCUGCUUGUCUCCUGGGAGACCCUGCGGGCUGCAGCGGGGGGACAGGUGGCUCUCCAGGCUCAGGCCACACAGCUGA
rnacentral:lncRNA from 1 species